GACGGCGUCGUUCCAGCUC
rnacentral:snRNA from 1 species